rnacentral:rRNA from 1 species
UCAACAAACCACUCGCCCGAGAACUACCAGCAUAAGCUAAAAACUCAAAAGACUUGACGGUGCUCUACCCUACCUAGAGGAGCCUGUUCUUUAAUCGAUACUCCACGAUUCACCCGACCACCACUAGCAACUUCAGCCUAUAUACCGCCGUCGAAAGUAUAUCUCCCAAGAGAUGCAUAAUUUUCCCAAUAGUCUAUCUCUCCCACUAAAACGUCAGGCCAAGGCAUAGCUAAUGUGAUGGUAGAAAUGGGCUACAUUUCCUAACUGAAGGAAAUACGAAAGGUGGCAUGAAACCCUGCCACCCAAAGGUGGAUUUAGCAGUAAGAUGAAAA